CCUACGGGAGGCAGCAGUGAGGAAUAUUGGUCAAUGGGCGCGAGCCUGAACCAGCCAAGUAGCGUGAAGGAUGACUGCCCUACGGGUUGUAAACUUCGUUUAUAAAGGAAUAAAGUGAGGCACGUGUGCCUUUUUGUACGUACUUUAUGAAUAAGGAUCGGCUAACUCCGGGCCAGCAGCCGCGGUAAUACGGAGGAUCCGAGCGUUAUCCGGAUUUAUUGGGUUUAAAGGGAGCGUAGAUGGGUUGUUAAGUCAGUUGUGAAAGUUUGGGGCUCAACCGUAAAAUUGCAAUUGAUACUGGCAGCCUUGAGUACAGUUGAGGUAGGCGGAAUUCGUGGUGUAGCGGUGAAAUGCUUAGAUAUCACGAAGAACACCGAUGGCGAAGGCAGCUUACUAAACUGCCACUGACGUUGAUGCUCGAAAGUGUGGGGAGCAAACAGGAUUAGAUACCCGUGUAGUC
rnacentral:rRNA from 1 species